GACGAACGCUGGCGGCGUGCUUAACACAUGCAAGUCGAGCGAUGAAGCUUCUUCGGAAGCGGAUUAGCGGCGGACGGGUGAGUAACACGUGGGCAACCUGCCCUAUAGAGGGGAAUAGCCUUCCGAAAGGAAGAUUAAUACCCCAUAAGAUUGUAGCUUCACAUGGAGUAGCAAUUAAAGGAGCAAUCCGCUAUAGGAUGGGCCCGCGGCGCAUUAGCUAGUUGGUGAGGUAACGGCUCACCAAGGCGACGAUGCGUAGCCGACCUGAGAGGGUGAUCGGCCACAUUGGGACUGAGACACGGCCCAGACUCCUACGGGAGGCAGCAGUGGGGAAUAUUGCACAAUGGGGGAAACCCUGAUGCAGCAACGCCGCGUGAGUGAUGAAGGCCUUCGGGUUGUAAAGCUCUGUCUUUGGGGACGAUAAUGACGGUACCCAAGGAGGAAGCCACGGCUAACUACGUGCCAGCAGCCGCGGUAAUACGUAGGUGGCAAGCGUUGUCCGGAUUUACUGGGCGUAAAGGGAGCGUAGGCGGAUUUUUAAGUGGGAUGUGAAAUACUCGGGCUCAACCUGAGUGCUGCAUUCCAAACUGGAAGUCUAGAGUACAGGAGGGGAAAGUGGAAUUCCUAGUGUAGCGGUGAAAUGCGUAGAUAUUAGGAAGAACACCGGUGGCGAAGGCGACUUUCUGGACUGUAACUGACGCUGAGGCUCGAAAGCGUGGGGAG
rnacentral:rRNA from 1 species